UAAGGAAUAUUGGACAAUGGACGGAAGUCUGAUCCAGCCAUGCCGCGUGAAGGAAGAAGGCGCUCAGCGUUGUAAACUUCUUUUGGACGGGAACAAAAUGCGCCACUUGUGGUGUACUGAGGGUACCGUCAGAAUAAGCACCGGCUAACUCCGUGCCAGCAGCCGCGGUAAUACGGAGGGUGCGAGCGUUAUCCGGAAUCACUGGGUUUAAAGGGUGCGUAGGCGGUCAGAUAAGUCAGUCGUGAAAUCGUUGGGCUUAACCUAUACAAUUGCGAUUGAUACUGUUUGACUUGAAUCAGGUUGAGGUGGGCGGAAUGUGGCAUGUAGCGGUGAAAUGCAUAGAUAUGCCAUAGAACACCGAUUGCGAAGGCAGCUUGCUGGACCUGAAUUGACGCUGAGGCACGAAAGCGUGGGGAGCAAACAGG
rnacentral:rRNA from 1 species